AAACAGUGGCUCCCAUUCGAUCACCAAUGUUAAGCAACAUUGAACUUGGUCAGUACUUAGAUGGAGGACCACAUGUGAUUUCCAGGUACUGUAAG